ensembl:rRNA 5S_rRNA 5S ribosomal RNA
UCUUAUAACCAAACUACACUGAGCCUGCCUGACCUUACUUGAUUUCAGAAUCUAAGCAGGGUUGGGUCUGGUCAGUACUUGGAUGGGAGACCACCAAGAGAUACCAAGUGUUGUAAAUU